rnacentral:rRNA from 2 species
CCAAGGAUGUUUUCAUUAAUCAAGAACGAAAGUUAGGGGAUCGAAGACGAUCAGAUACCGUCGUAGUCUUAACCAUAAACGAUGCCGACCAGCGAUUAGGAGACGUUGAAUACAAAACACCACCAUCGGUGCGGUCGUCCUUGGCGUCUCGGUUUCGGCCGGGGUGCGGGGACGGCUUAGCCCGGUGGCACCGGUGAAU